ensembl:lncRNA LINC-PINT long intergenic non-protein coding RNA, p53 induced transcript
GAGUGAGAAGAGGUGGGAGGAAGAGAAACUACGCCACCUCCCCUGCAGCCGAGUGCACGCAGCAGCCUGGCGUGACAAGUGGGCGACGCCGGGGGGCAGGGAGCCGGGGUCCUUGGCCCUGGCCGGGGACCCCACCGCCCACCGCGCGGAGGACAACUUUUAGCCGGCAGCCCAGACCAGCGCGGCACCUGUCUCCGGAGUCUCCACCGCUCCUCCCGAUUCAUCCCAGGGAAAUUCUCAAGAAUACGCUCUACAAAUCUACGUGCGCAUCAUUUUCACCUCGCGUCGCGCCCGGGAGGAAGGAACGAGGCAAGGAGCUAAAGCAGCGUGCGUUCAGCCCUGGGGCAUUUUAUUAAUGCUUUUACGAGUUAGAAGAGUUGGGAUAAUUUGCCAUCUGGAGUUUCUCUGCCUUGCUGAUCUGAGCUCAGACCUGCCAAUUUACCAGAGAUAAUUGAUAACACCCUGUAACAGCUGAGAGGAAAAUGGAAGAAACGGAGAUACUUUUAGUGAAGCAGAAUAAACCACUGAACAGCGUUGGCUGAAAAACAUAAGGGAAAAAUGAGGAAGCUGUGAGUACCAGUGGAAGGAACGAGCCAGGAAGAGGGACUGGAACCAUCUCAGAAGCCAUGCCCCUCAGGCUGGAACUUGCCCUGUCUCCUCGCAGAUGAGGUAGGAGGCUCAGCACGGGCUGGUGGGAGCAGCCCACAGCAGCAGUGAGGGUCAGUGGGCCUGUGAGUUAAGAAGAAGGUGGCACAGAGCGAGGGUCUCUGGAUCCUGACUGUUUGACUUUUCCAUGAUUAGGAUAAGUAGCCAGGGCUUGGCUAGUUGGAGAGUUACUCGAACCUCAGGUGACAGUUGUAAGGCAGCACAUAGUGAAAAAGAGUCCUAGCCUGGGAAAGUCCAAAACCUUAGGUCUGGUUUCAGUUCACUCACCUAUCUCUGUGACAUAGCAAAGUCUGUUAAUUUCUCUAAUUUUCUGAUUAGUAGUAUAGUUGCAGGAAUGAAAUAAAAAUGGUCCUGAUUACUCAGAGAUUCAUUUACUGAUUACUCUUUUUGUGACCUGAAUAAAGAGUACAACAUCUCUCAAAAGGUAACAAUAUGAUGUUUCAGGAAAUUAGAGAAGUUAAGAGACUUUGCUGUAUUUACUAUACAGAUAGUUGACUGACAGCUGAGCCCGGACCCAAGAUUCAUUUAUAAAAUGAAGGAGUUGAGAAGUACAUACUCUGAGGUUUAUCCUAAAUAAACUGAAGUCUAGGCAAGUGGCUGAGCUAGGUUUGCCAUGAAUCAAUCUGCUGAGUAUAUUUCUUGGUAACUAGUUCAUCUUUCCUUAAUUCAGUCAACAAAUAUGAUAUCAAGUUUAGUAAGAUGAUGACAGUUGUCAUGUAAUACUCCAUCUGGAAGAUUGUAUGCUUCUCAGCUUCCCUAACUUUUCUUAAUCUACCUUAAGCUUCCUUUCUGAAAGGUUUCUGUCUUUCCUAACAGUCUCUUCUUUCCGCCAGCUACCUCUUGUGUUUAAGAAUUAAAGGAAGAUGAGCUAGGAAUCAAGAAAUACGCAGAACUGAUUCCUGUCACUGGCGCCACCCUGCCACUUGCCCAGAGCUGUGGUAUAAAUUUUUUUAAUAGGCUGAAAUAAAAAUAUGAAUAGCAUUUUGGUAUUAAGCAUUAAAUUGAUAAAGGCUAUGAGAUACACCUGCUCUCAACCAUGUUAAUUUUUUAUUAUUGGUAUUAAUAAAUUAUUACUUACUAACAUAUUAACAAGAAUUGCAUUGAGAAACAAAGCAUCCACAGGCCAAAUCUUCUGAAUUUCAAAUGUUUAUAUUAAUGCGUUGUAUUCUAGAAAAGUAGAAUUGUCUUAAGUAGCUUUGUAAUAUAAAGUCAUCUAUCAGCCCAUUACACCUAUUAGAAUGUUUUAACCUUUAUUUCCCACUUUUUUGUUUCUAGACUGAGUGUACUUGGUCUGGUAUUUGUGGCAUAACUUACGGAACACAUAAGAAUGAUACAGAUACUAUUUAAUGAUGACCUAAUACAAGCUUAGAUAGCUAAGGUGAAAGCUUCUAUGGCCUUAACAUUUUCCUCUUGAAGAAUGUAUUUUCUGUAAUAAAAUACAGUGGCUACUUGAAAUCUAUAAACUUAUGUGAGGUCUGGAUAAAUCUGAGCAACUUUCUUCUUUGUGCUCCAGGAACCUACGCACUAUAUAUAUAAAUAAAGCUUAAGUAAACAUCA